rnacentral:rRNA from 1 species
UACAGAGGUCUCAAGCGUUGUUCGGAUUCAUUGGGCGUAAAGGGUGCGUAGGCGGCGCGGUAAGUCGGGUGUGAAAUCUCGGAGCUUAACUCCGAAACCGCAUUCGAUACUGCCGUGCUUGAGGACUGGAGAGGAGACUGGAAUUUACGGUGUAGCAGUGAAAUGCGUAGAGAUCGUAAGGAAGACCAGUGGCGAAGGCGGGUCUCUGGACAGUUCCUGACACUGAGGCACGAAGGCCAGGGGAGCAAACGGG